CCUACGGGUGGCAGCAGUGGGGGAUAUUGCACAAUGGGGGAAACCCUGAUGCAGCGACGCCGCGUGUGGGAAGACGGUCCUCUGGAUUGUAAACCACUGUCCCCAGGGACGAAGAUGACGGUACCUGGGGAGGAAGCUCCGGCGAACUACGUGCCAGCAGCCGCGGUAAUACGAAGGGAGCGAGCGUUGUCCGGAGUUACUGGGUGUAAAGGGAGCGUAGGCGGGACUGCAAGUUGGGUGUCAAAUCUACCGGCCCAACCGGUAGCCGCACUCAAAACUGCAGUUCUUGAGUGAAGUAGAGGCAGGCGGAAUUCCUAGUGUAGCGGUGGAAUGCGUAGAUAUUAGGAGGAACACCAGUGGCGAAGGCGGCCUGCUGGGCUUUUACUGACGCUGAGGCUCGAAAGUGUGGGGAGCAAACAGGAUUAGAUACCCGUGUAGUC
rnacentral:rRNA from 1 species